CGCCCAGUGCUUUAUGGGACAUGUAGUUCGUCAAUGUUCUGGGAACGUUGCAGUGACGUUGCGGUAACGUGACAUAACGUUAGCGAGCUUGGGCCAAUAUGACAACCACUUCCGCUUGUUUUCUUCGCGAGUCUUUGUCUUAUGUGUUUACCAAAACGAAGAGUUUUGGUGUUAUAAAGUCGCGUUUUGUUCGCUAGUUAGCUCGCUUAAAUACAGCAAUGGAAGGCAGUAAUGGUAACAGCUCGAACUGGGCGGUGGAGCGGCGGGUGGAGGGGCUGGUGGAGGGACUGGUGAACAAACACAUGGCAGACAUGGCACUGGAUACACUUCAGCAGAGACUCUCCGCUGUGUCCCAGGAAAUGAACCAUCUGUCUGCUGAAAUAUCCAGACGAGAAGACUCGAAACGUUUGGAGGAUUUAGCGCGGCGGACUGAACCACACUUCAUCGCAGGUUCCCUGCCGGAGUCUUAUAACGAAGAGCUAGUGGAGGAAAAAAAGUUGAUGACCAACACAUCCACAUCCUCCUCGUCCUCCUCAGCAGAAACUGCAGCUCAAAAAAAAAUCAUAUCACUCCUGCUGGAAAUAAAAGAAGAACAACAGAGGCAGUGGACUGUGCUGAAAGACCUGCAAGCAAUGAUUCAAGGACACAUGUGUGAGGAGGAUGUUGAAACUCUGGAUAUAGAUCUACCACUACAGACAAUGGAACAGCUUGAUGAAACAGAGAGAUAUUUGGAGAACGAUGAAGCGCAGAAGAGAAUGGUGUCUCACCUGUCUCGGAUGGGUGGUGCAACCGUGGAUGAUGCAGUUAGACGCCUGAUGCACGCAGUCUUGUCUUUCACUGUCGGUUCUGAGCUGAACUGGGUUGGUCGAGGACAAAAAAGGAGCUUCAAAAAUACCAGACUGCAAGGAGUUUUGUUCCGUAAGUGGUCUUGGAAAAUGUUGUUCAUGCAUGUGAAGAUGGUAUCACUGCAAAAAGUUCAAGAGCUAGGUACAAAAUGUAAACGUACACUCACUGUCCAUUAUUAGUAACACCUGUACACCUGCACAUUCAUGCAGUUAUCUAAUCAGCCAAUCAUGUGGCAGCAGUGCUAUGCACAAAAACAUGCAGAUACUGGUCAAGGUUCACAUUGUAUACCAGAAUGAAGAAAAACUGGUGAUCUCUGUGACUUUAACUGUGGCAUGGUUGUUGGUACCAGAUGGGCUGGUUUGAACAACAACAACAAAAAAUCAUCAAGUGAGUGACAGUUCUGUGGAUGUCACUGGCUUAAAAAAUGGAAAGAUUGGUUCUAGCUGCCAGGAAAGAAAUAGUAACUCAAUCACUCUACAACUAUGGUGAGCAGGAAAGCAUCUCAGCAGGCACAAAAAAUUGAACCUUGAGGUGGAUGAGCUACAACAGCAGACGACUACACUGGGUUCCACUCCUUUCAGCCAAGAACAGGACUCUGAGGCUAUCAUGGACACAGACUCACCCAAACUUUUGAAGACUGGGGAAAAGGUCCAGAUGAUUUUUUUUUUUAUUAUUUCUUCUAAUCUUUAACUGUCCAGUUUGGGUGAGUCUCAAGUCACCUCAAACUUUAAUGUGUUGUGUGUUCUGAGAUGCUUUUUUUUGCUCACCAUUGUUGUAAAGAGUGCUUAUUUGAGUUAUUGUAGACUUCCUUUCAGCUCAGAUCCGUCUGGUCAUUUUCCUCUGAUCUCUUUUUAUUAACAAGGUGUUUCAGCCUGCAUAUCAUCUGCACACAUAAUGUUUUGGGUUUUUUUGCACCAUUUUGUGUAAAUUUUAGAGACCGUUGUGUGCCAAAUUCCCAGGAGAUCAGCAGUUUAUGAAUUACUCAAACCAGCCCCGCUGGCACCAACAACCAUGCCACAGUUAAAGUCACAGAGAUCACACCUUUUCCCUAUUCUGAUGUUUGAUGUGAACAUUAAUUGAAGUUCUUGGCCAGUAUCUGAAUGAUUUUAUGCAUUGCACUGCUACCACAUGUGCAGGUGUACAGGUGUUCCUAUUAAAGUGGCUUGUGAGUGUAGGUUGAUGAUGUUGGAUUGGAGUUGGUCAUACGUCAUGCGUUAUCAGGGUCCUCAUAUUAUGUAGAAAAAUUACUGCUUGAUGUUUUACAGGUGCAUUAAAGAAGACCCCUGUAGGAAAAGAGGCCACACACCAUCAGUUUGCAGAUGUAGUAAAGAAAUGGCUGCGAUUUGCUCCAUUCAGACAAGGAGGCACUGGUCGGAGACAGCAUUACAAACCUCCUGUAAAAUACCUGUGCCCCAAGUAUCAUACUGAUACUGAAGGGUGACAACAGUGUCUUAUUGUCUUAUCUUAUUCAACACAGUUCAAUAUAAAAUUUCAACUAAAAAAACACAUUUUCAUGUUUCUCAGUGUUUUAGGGUUUGUUUGUUUGUUUUUAUGAGACUUCUAAAGUAAAAUAAAGCAGGAAAAUGACCUCCCGCUGGAGCCACAAAGCAUAGAAGUUUUAUUUUCAAUAUUGUAUUUUAAUCUGUUCACUGAAAAUGUUAAGUAUCAUUAUUUACAUAUUAGAUUGAAGGCUAGUAUUCUGGCUUUACUAGUUUUAGUUGCUUGUGCUACUGUAGGUAACACAAUGUAAUAGUGUUUUUUCAUUCAUGAGGUUGGGACUAAUCAUGACAUGCUUGUCCAGAUGUCUACAGAUUAUAAGUGCCUUUCUGAAAAUUGACAGCUGAGUCUGUCUAGUGCAUCAUCCAACAUAAUAUUCAAGUGAAUGCAGAAGAGUUAAAUAGUCCCAGACAACAUAAAGCAUUGUUAUUUAUCUAAUUCAAAAUCAGAACAAAGAGAGAUCGAGUCACAGACUUUCAUUUGAUUUUCUGUUGUCUUGUUCUAAUCCUUGUGCAAACCCAUACAUGAGGUCAUCUGACUCUAUACCCUACUUUAGAAACAGGCUUUUUAAAAUGUGUACAAAAUGUGUUUGUUUUUUUAAGAAAUGGGGGAAUUUUCAAUUUCAUAUGCAUAUUCAGGAAGAUUUGAGGCAGUGGCUGAUCUCUUGAAUGAAUGUUUCUAGUUCUAUCUGGAAUGGAAAUUAUAAGCCUAAAAUGUGCUGAGGAGUUAUUCAGUAUAAAUGAUAAUCUGAUCACUCUUAGAUUGAGAAAUUCUUACGGAGCACUUCGUCACUGUGUGGAAAGGAGUAUUAUAUGGUUACUUAUACUUUUCUUCUACUUUAUUUUAAAGCAAGCACUUGAUGGUUACUCAUGUGGUUAUGCAUUUUACUUGAUUAAAAACAAAUCAACCAUGAAUUUAAGGCUGUGAUAUGUAUUGAAGUAGACUUGCAUGUUACAUUACCUGUUUUUUUUUUGUUUUUUUCACUGUUAAUAAUAUACUUCGUUUUGUUUUAUACAGGUGUACUUUAUAUUUCAAGCUUUUGAAGCAUUUAUGCCAUAUACAUUUAUUUGUUUACUAAAGCACACCUAAUAGCUAUAAGCCUACCGUAGAUGGCAUAAUGUAGGCUAUUAAGCCUUAUACCUAUUUAAGAUGAAGGUAAGUAAAUCACAUAACCCACAAACAUCACCUAAAAAUAGAACAUGUAGUUCCCAAGUUUGAUCCUUAGUUCAGUUAAUGUCUGUGUGGAUUUUCACAUGGUCUUCCAGUGUUUGUGUGGGUAUCCUCUGUGUUUUCCAGUUUCCUCCAACCUACCAAAAAUAUGUGGGUAGGUGAAGUGGCUACUCUAAAUUGCCACUAGAAGUGAAUGCGUGUGUGUGUGUGCGCGCAUGUGCAUGGUGUCCUGUGGUGGACAGGCGUCCCUUUCAGGAUGUAGUCCUUUCUUGUGUCCAGUGUUCCAGGGAUAGUGUCUGAAACGAAUUCACCACAUGCUCCCAUGUCUGUGAACACAGGUGACUGUCUCAGCCAGGACAGGGCUACUGUCUUCAAUCCUCAAUUACUAACUUUUAAUGCUUCCUUUUUUUAUAUUUGAAGGAAAACCACUACUGUUUGUAUUUACUGUACUCAUGACAGAAGUAAUAAAAGGUACUUAAUAAAGCCACAAGUGUCCUGCUGUAGAAGAAGUAAACGAGGCCUAUGUUUACAUAAUCUACAUGGCCGUAAAGGCUAGCUUUAACCUACAUAGCCUGCAACAGGUGCCAAGUUGGCUACUUUAAAGAUUUAGAAGUGUUUCCUAUAGGCCUACUACAAGAUACAUUAUAUGGCUGAGUCCCAGAUGGUUCCAUAUUGGACAUGAAAGUGUAGAUGUCAUUAUUUAAUAGCCUAUUAUUUGGGAUGCAACCGGUAAAACAUGUUAUGUGGUCAAAUAGCACAUACCAUCAAUUCGUAUCCUAGCAACGUAUGUACAACACAACACCAACGGCACGCAAACCUGAGUCAUGUGUUGUGCAGUACACGGGGAUGUAAGUGUACACGGUGGACAUUAAUAUUCAAUUUAAAUCUGGCGUAAACAAAAUGAAGUGCAAUGCAAUGCAAAAUAUCAACAAGCCACAUUAAUAUUUAAAUAAAAUAUUAAGUAAGAUAUUGUUAAUGUUUAAAAAAGUAACUAAAUUACUGGCCUUACACUAUUUAAAGUGCAGUACUUCUAUAAUGUGCUACUUUGUAUCUGGGAUUUUUACUUUUUUUAAAUAAAUAUUUGUAUGAGUUUAAG
ensembl:lncRNA